GGGAGCGCAGUUUGGCGCCUCGGAGAGGGCGCGCGGCGCACCCGGCGGCCCAGGGCGAUGCGCACAAAGGCCGGCGGGCAGGGUUUCGGGAGGCUGUGUAGGGACCGAACGGUACCCAUCGUGCCGCUUGCCUCCGCUGUGGGGUCUCCUCUACCUUGAGGUGCUUGUAUUUUGGGGCUUGUGGUGUCUCUGGGCUUUUGCGUCAUACUUCAUAAUGGAGGGCGCCAGACCUAGGGCAAGCUUCUAAACUUGCGGCGUAGAACCGGAUACCGGAAGUUCCUCGGGCAGGCUCCCGGAAGUGAUCCAGUCAAAGAACUAAUCGCAUAAACCUUAUCCUAGUUCCCAGGGCGGCAAGAGGAGGUAUAUGGCUGUAUAAACGUGAAACUACAAGGGUUGCGUGGAGAACCCGGGCCCCUUCACACUUGGCUCGCGUUCCUUUUUUAAGGUGUUGCUGCAGAGAGGGAGUUUACUCGAGCUCCAUAUGAGUGACUGGUCCGGGAUGACAGAUUCAAGUCAUUUCAAACUCCAUUUUUAAUGUAGUAACGACUUGAUAAAGUUUUAUAUAACAGAACAAAGUUAUAAAUCAAGAAAGACACGUUUCAAAUCCUUGUGUUCCUCGCAUUCAAUGCUGACCCCGAACCCUACUUAGAGGCUGCUGUGUACAUGAAUUAAAAAUUGCUUUAAUUGGUUGCUUUGAUUAAUUAA
rnacentral:lncRNA from 1 species